GCGCUCUUAGUUCAGUUCGGUAGAACGCGGGUCUCCAAAACCCGAUGUCGUAGGUUCAAAUCCUAUAGAGCGUG
rnacentral:tRNA from 102 species